rnacentral:rRNA from 1 species
GACGAACGCUGGCGGCGUGCUUAACACAUGCAAGUCACGGGGGCUCGCAAGAGCAACCGGCGAACGGGUGCGUAACACGUGAGCAACCUGCCGAUCUGAGGGGGAGUAGCCGGCCCAACGGCCGGGUAAUACCGCAUACGUUCUCGAGGGGGAGUCCUCUUGAGAAGAAACCUCCGGGGCAGAUCGAGGGGCUCGCGGCCUAUCAGCUAGUUGGUGAGGUAACGGCUCACCAAGGCGACGACGGGUAGCUGGUCUGAGAGGAUGGCCAGCCACAUUGGGACUGAGAGACGGCCCAGACUCCUACGGGAGGCAGCAGUGGGGAAUCUUGCGCAAUGGCCGAAAGGCUGACGCAGCGACGCCGCGUGUGGGAUGAAGCAUUUCGGUGUGUAAACCACUGUUGCCCGGGACGAACAGCUCUUUUCGAGAGCCUGACGGUACCGGGUGAGGAAGCACCGGCUAACUCCGUGCCAGCAGCCGCGGUAA